rnacentral:rRNA from 1 species
UCAAGUGACUAAGUGCAUGUGGCGGAUGCCUUGGCGAUCACAGGCGAAGAAAGACGCGGCAGCCUGCGAAAAGCUGCGGGGAGCUGGCAAACGAGCUUUGAUCCGCAGAUAUCUGAAUGGGGGAACCCACACCGCAAGGUGUAUCCGUAGCUGAAUACAUAGGUUACGGAGGCGAACGAGGAGAACUGAAACAUCUAAGUAUCCUCAGGAAAAGAAAUCAACCGAGAUUCCGGCAGUAGCGGCGAGCGAACCCGGAGGAGCCCAGCUUUUGAUAGUACGAACUUUAGCCGAAAGGUCCUGGAAAGGCCUGCUAUAGUGGGUGAUAGCCCCGUAGGCGAAAGAGUUGGUACGGUACUAAGGAAGCGAGAAGUAGAGCGGGACACGUGGAAUCCUGUUCGAAGACGGGGGGACCAUCCUCCAAGGCUAAAUACUCGUGAUCGACCGAUAGUGAACCAGUACCGUGAGGGAAAGGCGAAAAGAACCCCGGGAGGGGAGUGAAAUAGAACCUGAAACCGCAUGCAUACAAACAGUAGGAGCCUCGUCAGAGGUGACUGCGUACCUUUUGCAUAAUGGGUCAGCGACUUACAUUCUGUGGCGAGCUUAACCGAAUAGGGGAGGCGCAGCGAAAGCGAGUUCGAAAUGAGCGUUCAGUCGCAGGGUGUAGACCCGAAACCAGAUGAGCUAUCCAUGGCCAGGUUGAAGGUGUGGUAACACACACUGGAGGACCGAACCGACUAGUGUUGCAAAAUUAGCGGAUGAGCUGUGGAUAGGGGUGAAAGGCCAAACAAAUCUGGAGAUAGCUGGUUCUCCCCGAAAACUAUUGAGGUAGUGCCUCGUGUGUCGCUCCAGGGGGUAGAGCACUGUUUUGGCUAGGGGGGCAUGGAGUCUUACCAAACCAAGGCAAACUCCGAAUACCUGGAAGCGUAAGCACGGGAGACAGAGCACCGGGUGCUAACGUCCGGACUCAAAAGGGAAACAACCCAGACCGCCGGCUAAGGUCCCAAAUAACAGCUAAGUGGAAAACGAAGUGGAAAGGCCGUGACAACCAGGAAGUUGGCUUAGAAGCAGCCAUCCUUCAAAGAAAGCGUAAUAGCUCACUGGUCGAGUCCUUCUGCGCGGAAGAUGUAACGGGGCUAAGCUGUUAACCGAAGCCGCGGAUGCACUGGUUAUCCAGUGCGUGGUAGGGGAGCGUUCUGUAAGUCUGCGAAGGCGGUUCGAGAGGACUGCUGGAGAUAUCAGAAGUGCGAAUGCUGACAUGAGUAACGUUAAAGCAGGUGAAAAGCCUGCUCGCCGUAAGCCCAAGGAUUCCUGCUCUACGUUCAUCGGAGCAGGGUGAGUCGGCUCCUAAGGUCAGGCCGAAAGGCGUAGCCGAUGGGAAUCAGGUUAAUAUUCCUGAACCUGCGUCAGAUGCGAUGGGGGGACGGAGCAUGGAAGAUCAUCCGGGUGUUGGAAGUCCCGGUUGUUGAGCGUAGGAGGUCUGCAGGCAAAUCCGCAGACGCAUCUCCAAGGCAAAGACACGUGCCGCCACGGCGGCGAAGUGAUCGGAAGUGCUUCCAAGAAAAGCCUCUAAGCCCCAGUCUGACGCGGACCGUACCGCAAACCGACACUGGUGGGCGAGCUGAAUAUGCUCAGGCGCUUGAGAGAACUCGGGAGAAGGAACUCGGCAAAUUGACACCGUAACUUCGGAAGAAGGUGUGCCGUAGUACCGUGAGAGGAGAGACACCUUGAGCGGGAAACGGUCUCAGAGAAUAGGUGGCUGCGACUGUUUAUUAAAAACACAGCACUCUGCAAAGUCGAAAGACGACGUAUAGGGUGUGAUGCCUGCCCGGUGCUGGAAGAUUAAUUGAUGGGGUGAGAGCCCUUGAUCGAAGUCCCAGUAAACGGCGGCCGUAACUAUAACGGUCCUAAGGUAGCGAAAUUCCUUGUC